rnacentral:lncRNA from 1 species
UGAGAUCAGAAUGGACGAUAUUCAUGAGCUCUUCUCCAGAGACCCGGCCAUCAGGCUUGGAGGACACUGGAAGCCUGCAGACUGCAUGCCUCGGUGGAAGGUGGCCAUCCUCAUCCCUUUCCGGAACCGCCACGAGCACCUCCCAGUCCUCCUUCGACACCUGCUCCCCAUGCUCCAGCGCCAGCGCCUGCAGUUUGCCUUCUAUGUGAUCGAGCAAGCUGGCACCCAGCCCUUUAACCGAGCCAUGCUCUUCAACGUUGGCUUUCAAGAAGCCAUGAAGGACUUGGAUUGGGACUGUCUGAUCUUCCAUGACGUCGAUCACAUACCUGAGAGUGACCGAAACUACUAUGGCUGUGGACAG